rnacentral:rRNA from 1 species
UCCGCUUGAUCCUGCCGGACCCGACUGCUAUCAGAGUGGGACUAAGCCAUGCGAGUCAACGUAGAAAUACGUGGCGAACGGCUCAGUAACACGUAGUCAACAUGCCCAGAGGACGUGGAUAACCUCGGGAAACUGAGGAUAAACCGCGAUAGGUCAUGAUUUCUGGAAUGGUUUAUGGCUGAAAUCUAUAUGGCCUCUGGAUUGGACUGCGGCCGAUCAGGCUGUUGGUGAGGUAAUGGCCCACCAAACCUGUAACCGGUACGGGCUCUGAGAGGAGGAGCCCGGAGAUGGGCACUGAGACAAGGGCCCAGGCCCUAUGGGGCGCAGCAGGCGCGAAAUCUCUGCAAUAGGCGAAAGCUUGACAGGGUUACUCUGAGUGAUUCCCGCUAAGGGGAUCUUUUGGCACCUCUAAAAAUGGUGCAGAAUAAGGGGUGGGCAAGUCUGGUGUCAGCCGCCGCGGUAAUACCAGCACCCCGAGUGGUCGGGACGAUUAUUGGGCCUAAAGCAUCCGUAGCCGGUACUGCAAGUCUUCCGUUAAAUCCACCUGCUCAACAGUUGGGCUGCGGAGGAUACUACAGCGCUAGGAGGCGGGAGAGGCAAGCGGUACUCAUUGGGUAGGGGUAAAAUCCACUGAUCCAUUGAAGACCACCAGUGGCGAAGGCGGCUUGCCAGAACGCGCUCGACGGUGAGGGAUGAAAGCUGGGGGAGCAAACCGGAUUAGAUACCCGGGUAGUCCCAGCUGUAAACGAUGCAGACUCGGUGAUGGGCUGGCCUUGUGCCAACCCAGUGCCGCAGGGAAGCCGUUAAGUCUGCCGCCUGGGGAGUACGG